rnacentral:sRNA from 1 species
UGCUGCCAUGCUCCCGCCUUGAUGAUGAUGGAGUGAAUCUCUGAACCUUUGGCAACUCAGAUGGGACUCCUCAGGUUUUCUAGUACUAAAACCAGACUCAGCAUCCUGGAGAAGCCACUGGAAAAAGUAGAGAAAAUGCCACAGAUGAAAUCGCCCUGUUGUCCAGACUCCACUGACCCCAGUGAACUCGGCCAUGGUCUCAUAAACCUGAUACUACAACAGGGUUCUGGCUCUGAAACAGACCUGGGAAAUGGAGCCCGAAGUGACUGGGUGUUGUUGACCAGGUUCAGUUUCUCUGUUAAUGUCCCAAGGAUCUCAUUAGCAGACGAAGAGGCAUUAUUCCCAAGUGUCUCUGGCAGGACCUUUUGCUGGGGUUCAUCCAGGUCUCCAUUAUUACUUUGCAGUCUCUCCAUUCUGCUCUCUUUCUUCCUAGAGACAAGCUGCUUCUGCCACCUAUAAGCUUCCAGUGGCUUUUCCAGAUUGGAAACAGCAUAUUCAUUUUUCUUCCUCUUGCUUUUGACUGAACCACACCAUGGAUAAAUCUUUGAAGUUGUUCCUAUCUCUGAAUUUGCAUAAGCAGGUUCUGACAAAGAUCUUUGAAAGCUUGGAGGACAAGGUGAAGUUUGUUUCUUAAAGAUGUUUAUCUUCCAGGACUCCAUUUUUCAACCCUUCUAGGCUAAGUUUCUUCUGCCCUGUAGUCUUUACCAUUGAACCACACUUGUCCGUGCAGUCCAAAACAUUUGCCUGUUUAAGCAGCUUUUGUGUGGCUUUGAACCACAGCAGAUGUUGCUGCUUAAGAGUUGGUGUCAUAUUAUUACCCCGUUUUCCCAGAUCUUCAACCCUCCAGUGGCACCUAAAAACCUCUUGCCUGAAACAAAUUUUCUUCAGAGUAGAAAGAAAAAAGUUUCCCAAAUAAUCUUUAUUAUAAUGCCCAUCCUAUAUCAGAGAAUAAUUUUUAAACUAAAAAGUGGAAAGAUGUGCCCCCCUAAAAUCACAAGUACCUUUAUGAACCAAUAGCAAUUAAUCUACUGUGCGAAUGACAAUUGAUUAAAAAUAAAUUGUAGAAUGAGUAUUUAAGGAAGACAAGACAGACACACGCACACAUACACACACAUACAUGCAUACACACACAGACACACAUACACACACACUAACAGUCUGUUUUUAGAGUAGCUGCCCCUUAGUAUAAUUCUAAAUCUAUAUUUCAGAAAUGUAAUUUAAAGCAAACAGACUAUUUAUUAUAUACCUCUUGCAAGGUUAAUACAUACUGUCUUCUAACACGUCAAACCACAGCUUCAAGGGAGCACUGCAGUAGCAGUGCAUAUGUUUAUGUGCGCAUGUGCCAAAAUUUCAGGCCAUCUUAAAUGUAAAUGCAUUACAAAACGUAUAAAUGGGAGGAGAGGGGCAGAAACUGAGGACAUGUGAUAUUAAAGCAUUGUAGAGAAAAAGAAAAAUUGAACCCAACUGCCUGACAUAUUUUAGGCAACUAUCCUACUGUUGAUACAGCACUAGUCCCUAAAAAGAAACUCUUGAGGCAAGUUCUGUGGCAACUGGAAGCAUAGGAACAGACAUACUUAAAUAACUUGUACAGGGAAAAAUUUGCUAUGCAAAUCUAAUUGGAUUAAGUUAGCUGGAAAAACAGUAUCAUUUAACCUAAGUUAUUCCUUUCUUCUUUCUGCUUCUUACAUUUAAAAAGAGCUGACUAUUUAACAUUUUCUUAAAGCAAGUACCUUCUACUGAACCAAGAUCAUGACUGCCAAAAUACUGGCUAGUUGUAUUUUUCUCAACAGUCUGCCCAUAAACCCCUGAAAAUAAGGGUUUCAAAUGGAAAGCUUGACAGACUUCAGACCACCAAUAAAAGGGAGAUAGCAGAGCAAUCAAAGUCACUUCGUAAAUUGCAUUUAUUCAUCUGGAAAACUUAAAACUGUCCAUUUAUUUAUAAAAUAAAAAACAGUUGUCAUGCUAUUUCUACUAUUCUGGUGAGUAAUGUAAGGAAAUUUCAUGUAUUUCUUCAUUUUAACAUAUCAAAUGUUCUAUUACUUCUAUUACCAGGAAGACAUAGAAUUCACUUUCCUUUGUUUACAGUCUCCAAAUUUGCUCAUUUGUGUAACAAGAAAAGUUGAGUUACUUGGGUUUCUUAAAUACACAAUAUACCAAAUUAGAAGGUCUCUAAAUCAUAUAAAUGUAUCUGCAUUUAAAAAUAAGAAAUAAAAAUUUAUACAAAAAACAAUUGAUUAUACCCCAAUCUUGCUCUGUGGCACAGUACAUAGUCCACAGCACUGAUAAUGUGAUAGGAAACAUACUUAAAUAUAACUGUCAGCCUUGGGAAGAUGAGAAAGAAUAAGAAGAUGUUUUUAUGUCCUGCAAGAAGGCAAAGAGCUUUGAAGAAACAGAAAGCAAGAGUAGGUACAGGAAAUCCUUAAUAAUUAUGAGUUCAUACAUUUACCAAUUUGUGCUCCAUAGGAGGCCCCACUGAUAAAACUGAGAAGCAACACCAAAAAUGGCAGAAAACAUUCACAAUAUAAACAUCCCAAACUGUUUUUUUCUUCCACAAACAUAAUAAGGAGAAAAACUAACUCUUUUAAAAGUAAAUAAAAAGCCUUUACUAAGAAAACCUAGCUAGGCAGGAUGGAACAUUCCUGAAAUUCUAGCACUUGGGAAACCAAAUGAGAAAGAUGUGAGUUCAGGAAUACCACGAGCUAAACAGUGAACUUAGGUCUCGAUCUUUAAAAACAUAUGACCAAUGAACGCAUGAAAAAUUUCUCAACCUCAUUAGCAGUUAGAGAAAUGCAAACCAAAGGCAAAGUAAGAAGGCUCAGCAGGCAGACCUGUCAGACUUGGGAUCAGAAGCACAGGCAACACAAUUAAGUUCAACACACGCUCACAGUGUAACUAACCAAUUCUGCUGUAGGUAUUGUUUAAAAAAACCUUUAAGAUACAUCUGCUUAUGCCUGAAUUUCUAUUACCACAGCAGCUUUAUUUAUAACAGCUAUAAGACUGAAAGAAUGCAAACAUGUACAGCAAUAAAAUAGGUAAAUUACGGUACUGUCAUACAAUGGAACGGUGCUCAGUGCGGAGAAAAGGGCAGCUAAUUCAUAAAACAUGGUGAAUCUUACAGAUACUAUUCCAACAAAGGAACACAAAAAACACAC